rnacentral:lncRNA from 1 species
AAAUAAUUAAAUAUUACCAUCCCUAGGCAGCCUACUAUUCAUAAACCAAAGAAGCCGGCGAGCCACAGUAAUCGUCGUCAUGAGUCUCGGCUCAACGUAAUGCUGCCGUGUAACGGCGGCGACUCACAGUGCAAUUCCGACUUUGUUUGACAAAUUGUGCGACGUUCUGUAAGAAAAAGUCAGCGGUGCACGAUAACUCGGCCGGCACUUGACGGAAAUUCCGGCAACAGUCGCCAGCGACUGAUACGUUUAUUUAUUUUACUAUCAAAAGUAAUAAAAAAAUAUACAUUCCAUUAAACUUACAAAGAAAGCUCAUAUUACCUUAAUUAGGAGAUAAACCCUCUCGUCCAGGUGAUUCCGAUUGUUGUCUUGACAAAUUAUAUGAAAUCCCAAGUCCGUUCUCGUCCCGCCUGGGCAUCCUCCCUAUAAAGAAACAUUAACAGUUUAUUAAACUUUAAAAUAAAGGGAAAAAAAAGAAACAAGAAGAAAAUUAUUACAAACCUGAAUUUUGAUGGCCGUGAACUUGUUCCAUUUAUUGACCGGACGAAUCUUCGGCGACACCUUGUCUUCCAACUUACGAUAUGAUUGGAAAAUUACAGUGACAUAAAUGUCAUACUGAGUACGUCGAUCGGGCCCCUUAGCACGCUUCUCCACUCUUUUUUGAAUGUGCUCGUCGAUUCUUGGUUUUCUUCUGGGAUCUUUUCUUGGUUUCCGAAUGUGCUCGUCGUUUCUUUAUUUUCCGAAUGUGCUCAUCGUUUCUUUGUCUCCGAAUGUGCUCGUCCUUUAGCACGCUUCUCCACUCUUUUCUGAUUGUGUUUCUGUAUUCUCGCCAUUGUAGUCACCAAGAGGUCACUGACGCAGGCUAUCUGUUGUGAUAUGUUGCGAAGGAGACGAUCAACACAGAGCAAAUGAAAGGGAGGGGUUUUCUUUCGUAGCAGAGGAGUGCCAGCGAGAGACUGUCACACUCGCUUUUACGGGCGACUGUCACACUCGCCUCUUUCUAAGCAAGAGGGCACGUGUCUUGCUUAGAAAAAAGCAAGUGCGGCUGUCGCUCUCCGCUAGCAGUCCUCUUACAAAUUAUUCAGUUUAAUUUUUUGUUUGUUUAUAUUAUAGGUUUAUGGAGAUUAUUAGAAUGUGCAUCAAUGGUGAUGGGUACAAGUUUAUGUUGAAGACUUAAAAUUAUUUUAAUUUGUCGUAUAAAAUUUGAUCAUUUGUAAUUAUAUCGAAAGUUUAGAAUUAUUAUAUUUUUAUUUAUGUGGAGGUUGUUAAAAUUUGAACACUUGUACUUUUAUUUCUAAUAUAGAAUUUGAUCAUUUGUAAUUUUAUUUCUAAAUAUGGAGGUUGUUAGAAUUAUUAUUAUUAUUUUAUUUGAUCAUUUGUAAUUUUAUUUCUAAUAUGGAGGUUGUUAGAAUUAUUAUUAUUAUUUUUUAAAAAAUAGAGGAAAGUGAAAUAUUUAGAAAUUAUUAUUUAAAAAAUAGGGAUCGGGUCCCCGCUUUAAUCCCCGCUCAAUUCGGGGACUUUCGGGGAUAUACCCAAACUAUCCCCCAUUACAAUUUUUCGGGUAUGGGGCAAAUUCGGGGGAAAGCUUCUAAAUUGGGUUCGGGUUCGGGGAUUAUGAUCCCCGCCCCAUUGACAUCCCUACCUCUUUGUAGAAUAAUAUUUGACAUUUUCUCCUAGUGAUUCCGAGUAAAAGUGUAUGGCAAAGCUUAUCUUACAUCGGCGGUACAUUACAGAUAUAAAUUUUUGAAUCAUCAGAAAAGUUAAUAAUUAUAACAAAGUCAAUAAGUUUUAAAGUUUUAUUUUAAACCCCAAGCUACACUGCAAGUACUUCAUUUUUUUUUUAAGUUUUUCAUUUAUAUUUAUAGCAAAUUCAGCACCAAGUUUGUAUUUUAUCUAAUUGAAUCUCUAAUUUGUUUAAUCUUAUAUUUAUUGAGUUUUUAUUCAUUAUAUUAAU